rnacentral:tRNA from 2 species
GUUAGAGUGGAGUAGUAGUUUAACUCGUCGCCCUCCCAAACUGAUCCCGAAAAGGACCAGGUAAGGAGAUUCAGGCGGAGACCCGGGUGCGAAUCCCGGCUCUAGCA